rfam:Aedes albopictus isolate Foshan contig31189, whole genome shotgun sequence.
UAGCCUAGUGGUUAAGGCUAUGGAUCGUCAAUCCGGAGACUGUGGGUUCGAUUCCCGU